rnacentral:rRNA from 1 species
ACAUGAGGCAGCUAUAAUGCAGUCGUACGAACUCAACGUAUUGAUUGGUGCUUGCAUCAUGAUUUACAUUUGAGUGAGUGGCGAACUGGUGAGUAACACGUGGGAAACCUGCCCAGAAGCGGGGGAUAACACCUGGAAACAGAUGCUAAUACCGCAUAACAACUUGGACCGCAUGGUCCGAGCUUGAAAGAUGGCUUCGGCUAUCACUUUUGGAUGGUCCCGCGGCGUAUUAGCUAGAUGGUGGGGUAACGGCUCACCAUGGCAAUGAUACGUAGCCGACCUGAGAGGGUAAUCGGCCACAUUGGGACUGAGACACGGCCCAAACUCCUACGGGAGGCAGCAGUAGGGAAUCUUCCACAAUGGACGAAAGUCUGAUGGAGCAACGCCGCGUGAGUGAAGAAGGGUUUCGGCUCGUAAAACUCUGUUGUUAAAGAAGAACAUAUCUGAGAGUAACUGUUCAGGUAUUGACGGUAUUUAACCAGAAAGCCACGGCUAACUACGUGCCAGCAGCCGCGGUAAUACGUAGGUGGCAAGCGUUGUCCGGAUUUAUUGGGCGUAAAGCGAGCGCAGGCGGUUUUUUAAGUCUGAUGUGAAAGCCUUCGGCUCAACCGAAGAAGUGCAUCGGAAACUGGGAAACUUGAGUGCAGAAGAGGACAGUGGAACUCCAUGUGUAGCGGUGAAAUGCGUAGAUAUAUGGAAGAACACCAGUGGCGAAGGCGGCUGUCUGGUCUGUAACUGACGCUGAGGCUCGAAAGUAUGGGUAGCAAACAGGAUUAGAUACCCUGGUAGUCCAUACCGUAAACGAUGAAUGCUAAGUGUUGGAGGGUUUCCGCCCUUCAGUGCUGCAGCUAACGCAUUAAGCAUUCCGCCUGGGGAGUACGGCCGCAAGGCUGAACUCAAGGAAUUGACGGGGCCCGCACAAGCGGUGGAGCAUGUGGUUUAAUUCGAAGCUACGCGAGGACCUUACCAGGUCUUGA